AGGUCACACACGGGGCAACGGUGUUUGCGCGCAGCUGCGCGGUACGCCGGAUCUUUGGGGAAAAUCUCCGGGUGUGUGCACUGGCAGAUAGUACAGGUCAUCACGAAAGUCCAGGUUGAUCACGUGUCCCUCAGGAGAUGCU
rnacentral:RNase_MRP_RNA from 15 species